rnacentral:tRNA from 1 species
UGCGGGGUGGAGCAGCGGCAGCUCGUCUGGCUCAUAACCAGAAGGUCGGGGGUUCGAGUCCCUUCCACCGCAACCA